GAGCCAAAGCAAAACAAGCAGCUGAGGCCGGGAAGCAGGAGGGAGCCGUGUGGGCAGGAAUAGCAGCGGCCCCACACGAGCAGCCGCACGCUGGGAGCUGUAGGGCAGCGUGGGCCCUGUUCCUGCCGCUGGCCCCACUGCUGUGCCCAGGGCACACAGCUCCAGGAUGUGGCGCUGAAGGGUUCCUGUGCUAGCACGAGCCUUUUGUUGGUCGUGGUUCAAAGGCUUUGGACUUCAUGUUUCAUUCUUCCGUGUUCUGACAUGACAAAGGACUAUUUUAAUAGCUGGGUAUUAAAUCUAUUCAGGGGCAGAAAAUGAAGGACUGCGUUAGCCUGCAGCACUCGGGAGCUGCGUGUUAGCAGCAGCCCGUUCUGCUGGUGUGCAGCAGGAGCCUCAGCCUCACCGGGGUCAGCGUGCAGCAUUCCCCUCCCCAGCAGCGUUCCCCGUUGGGCGUGCAGCAGUGCCCUCCUGCCUCCAUCGCUCCCUGCUGCUGCGCCCAGGGACACCCGGAGACCCCUGACUUAGGACACUUCCACCUUUUACUCUGAAGCCAACGUCAGUGCAGCUCUCCAGCUCCUGGCAAGUGGGCACCUCGUGCCGGGCUGUGAGGAACGGGCUGACGACACCGAGCAGAGUCACAUUUCUGCAGCACUUCCCCUGCCCGCAGCACAGCUCUGCGCCCCAGCUGACCGGGGCGGCGGUGCAGGGCAGCGGGAGCAACCCGGUGCUGAAAGCUGACAGCUCAGACUUCAGGUCUGGCCACGGAGAGGAACGAGGCUCAUCAAAUUGAGCCUGGGAAAGCUUCCAAAACCUUGUCUUCACGAGGCAACAGUGCGCAGGUUUGCAUAAAUAUCUAUGAAAUUCAUCAAACAGCCCAAAUGAAAUACACUAAGGAAGGAACUUCUGCUGCAUUUAAAUCCGCUCACAGUCGCUUCCCUGUCUUUGAAAUCCAGCGAUGCCCGCCCCCCACCAGCCUGGGAGCAAGGCUUCACCAAAACCCCAUCAUCGGUGAAGGUCUGACCGCAGCGGCCUCCUGCACAUCUCACACCGCUAAAUGUCAGUCCUCCGAGAAGAACCUGAAGGCAUGUGGGACGUUCAGCUCUCCGCUGUCUUUCAGGUAAGCAAAUUUAAACAUGUAACUUUGUCUGACAGUUCCAAUUAGUAUUCUUUUAACUGCACAACAAGAGAGGAAGGAAAAAAAAAGAGAUUUAUCACAAAAGAUUAUUUUGGGGGAAGAGGGAGGAGGACGGGGGAACUCUAGAAUGUUUUAUUUAUGGGAAUACUGCAAAUUACCUUAAUAAAUUCCUUUACUAAGCUGUGUCA
rnacentral:lncRNA from 1 species